AGUGAACGCUGGCGGUAGGCCUAACACAUGCAAGUCGAACGGCAGCACAGGAGAGCUUGCUCUCUGGGUGGCGAGUGGCGGACGGGUGAGGAAUACAUCGGAAUCUACUUUUUCGUGGGGGAUAACGUAGGGAAACUUACGCUAAUACCGCAUACGACCUACGGGUGAAAGCGGUGGACCUUCGGGCCUUGCGCGAUUGAAUGAGCCGAUGUCGGAUUAGCUAGUUGGCGGGGUAAAGGCCCACCAAGGCGACGAUCCGUAGCUGGUCUGAGAGGAUGAUCAGCCACACUGGAACUGAGACACGGUCCAGACUCCUACGGGAGGCAGCAGUGGGGAAUAUUGGACAAUGGGCGCAAGCCUGAUCCAGCCAUACCGCGUGGGUGAAGAAGGCCUUCGGGUUGUAAAGCCCUUUUGUUGGGAAAGAAAUCCAGCUGGCUAAUACCCGGUUGGGAUGACGGUACCCAAAGAAUAAGCACCGGCUAACUUCGUGCCAGCAGCCGCCGUAA
rnacentral:rRNA from 1 species